AGUGAACGCUGGCGGUAGGCCUAACACAUGCAAGUCGAACGGCAGCACAGUAAGAGCUUGCUCUUACGGGUGGCGAGUGGCGGACGGGUGAGGAAUACAUCGGAAUCUACUUUUUCGUGGGGGAUAACGUAGGGAAACUUACGCUAAUACCGCAUACGACCUACGGGUGAAAGCAGGGGAUCUUCGGACCUUGCGCGAUUGAAUGAGCCGAUGUCGGAUUAGCUAGUUGGCGGGGUAAAGGCCCACCAAGGCGACGAUCCGUAGCUGGUCUGAGAGGAUGAUCAGCCACACUGGAACUGAGACACGGUCCAGACUCCUACGGGAGGCAGCAGUGGGGAAUAUUGGACAAUGGGCGCAAGCCUGAUCCAGUCAUACCGCGUGGGUGAAGAAGGCCUUCGGGUUGCAAAGCCCUUUUGUUGGGAAAGAAAAGCAGCAGGUUAAUACCCCGCUGUUCUGACGGUACCCAAAGAAUAAGCACCGGCUAACUUCGUG
rnacentral:rRNA from 1 species